CAUCGAUGCCACUGGACUCGUCACCGACCUCAACAAACAAACACAAGAAAAGAGUACAGCACCGUACGUAAUCUGCUUUUUCUUGUUGAUUUUGAUUAGUAGUUCUAUUAUUCAUGCCGUGAAAUUAAAUGAGUUUUAUUGCCGUGCGUCGCUAUUUAAUUUAUCUAGUUUGCAUGAUAUAAUAUGCUACAUGUUUUACACAUUGUUUUUCUGGAUUAAAUAUUCAUCGAAUUACCUAAUUACUCAGCAAUCCAAAAACCUUAUUCGUGUAGUCAAUUUUCGAUGUCUCAAUUUGCUGUUGCAUUGAAACCUCCUGUGUUUAUUGGACUGCACUUUAAGAGGUGGCAGUAUAAAUGUCAUAUGUGGCUCGUGGCUAUGGGCGCAUGGUAGGCGGUACAACACGGGAAGACUCAAACAAUUGCUUCUCAGCAGUUGUAUGUUGAGGCUUGUGUUGUAGUCGUCGGUGCGAUCUGUAGUGUGCUGCGAGAUAAGCUCGUUGAUGCUUAUCUGCACUAUCAGGAUGCCAAAGAGUUGUGGGAUGCGCUCGAUGAUAAGUUUGGCGCAUCUGACGCUGGCAGUGAACUGUACGUCAUGGAGCAGUUCUUUGACUAUAAGAUGGUUGCAAACCGAUCUGUAGUGGAACAAGCUCAUGAGUUACUGACUAUGACUAAGGAAUUUGGGCAAUUCAAGUGUCCACUACCCGACAAGUUUGUCGUCGGGGGCAUCAUCGCCAAGCUUCCUCUCUCGUGGAGGAACUUUGCUACUUCACUAAAACACAAGAGACAAGAAAUCUCUGUGGAGAACCUGAUUGGAACUCUUGAUGUUGAGGAGAAGGCGAGAGCAAAAGAUGCUGGCCCUAAAGGCAACACACAAGAGGGUACGUCCACCGUCAACAUGGUUCAAAGGAACAACCACAACAAUAGUAACAACAAGGGAAAGGGAAAAGCAUUCAACAAUGCUGGUCCAAAGAACACUACCACUUUCAAGAAGAAGAAGAAGAAAGGAGGCAACAAGGACAAGGAUUUUUGCUUUGUGUGCGGAGGAUUGGGCCAUUGGGCGAGUAACUGCAAGGAGCACAAAGGAUGACAGAUUCGGCAAAAGUUUGCUAAUUUGACCAUUGACAACAAUGAAGAUGCAGACAGGCCAUCAGCUCCUCAGUGACGAUGGGGAACGGCGCCCAUGCUUCUGUUCACAGUGUUGGCACGGUGGAUCUGAAGUUUACUUCGGGAAAGAUCGUGCAGCUGAGAAACGUGCGGCAUGUGUCCUCCAUUCAGAAGAAUCUUGUUAGUGGAUCCCUACUUUGAAAGGACGGAUUUAAGUUAGUAUUUGAGUCCAAUAAAAUUAUUGUGUCUAAUUAUGAACAAUUUAUUGGUAAAGAUUAUGAGUGCGGAGGCUUGUUCCGCUUAUUCCUCUCGGGUUUUUGAGAUCGUGAACAGCGUCAAUUCUAUUAAUAAUGAAUCGGCGCCCACCAAGUUCGGUGUUGUCGUCAACGAUGGAGAUGUUGUCGUCGA